rnacentral:pre_miRNA from 1 species
UCAGUUAGCCUCAGUGGUUUCUCGGGUCUAGUAUAUAUAUUUUAUUUUAUAUGGUAACGGGCGGUUGUUGUGGAAGUGAUGUUUAAAAUAAGAAUUCACAAUGAUGAUUGGUAUACUAAAUAUAGUACUAGUACUUGCAUGAUCAUGUAUAUGCA